rnacentral:rRNA from 1 species
UACGUAGGGACCAAGCGUUGUUCGGAUUUACUGGGCGUAAAGGGCGCGUAGGCGGCCAUUCAAGUCAGCUGUGAAAUCUCCGAGCUUAACUCGGAACGGUCAGCUGAUACUGUUUUGCUAGAGUGCAGAAAGGGCAACCGGAAUUCUUGGUGUAGCGGUGAAAUGCGUAGAUAUCAAGAGGAACACCUGAGGCGAAGGCGGGUUGCUAGGCUGACACUGACGCUGAGGCGCGAAAGCUAGGGUAGCAAACGGG